AAAGCCNGUCUCAGUUCGGAUUGGAGUCUGCAACCCGACUCCAUGAAGCUGGAUUCGCUAGUAAUCGCGCAUCAGCCACGGCGCGGUGAAUACGUUCCCGGGCCUUGUACACACCGCCCGUCAAGCCAUGGAAGCCGGGGGUGCCUGAAGUGCGCUGCCGCAAGGAGCGCCCUAGGGUAAAACCGGUGACUGGGGCUAAGUCGUAACAAGGUAAC
rnacentral:rRNA from 1 species